CCUACGGGAGGCAGCAGUGGGGAAUAUUGGACAAUGGGCGAAAGCCUGAUCCAGCAAUGCCGCGUGAGUGAUGAAGGCCUUAGGGUUGUAAAGCUCUUUUACCAGGGAUGAUAAUGACAGUACCUGGAGAAUAAGCUCCGGCUAACUCCGUGCCAGCAGCCGCGGUAAUACGGAGGGAGCUAGCGUUGUUCGGAAUUACUGGGCGUAAAGCGUACGUAGGCGGUUAUUCAAGUCAGAGGUGAAAGCCUGGAGCUCAACUCCAGAACUGCCUUUGAAACUAGAUAGCUAGAAUCUUGGAGAGGUGAGUGGAAUUCCGAGUGUAGAGGUGAAAUUCGUAGAUAUUCGGAAGAACACCAGUGGCGAAGGCGACUCACUGGACAAGUAUUGACGCUGAGGUACGAAAGCGUGGGGAGCAAACAGGAUUAGAUACCCUGGUAGUCCACGCCGUAAACGAUGAUAACUAGCUGUUCGGGCUCCACGAGCUUGAGUGGCGCAGCUAACGCAUUAAGUUAUCCGCCUGGGGAGUACGGUCGCAAGAUUAAAACUCAAAGGAAUUGACGG
rnacentral:rRNA from 1 species